CUCAUCCGUGCGGGGGUCAUAGUCGAAGUGGCUGUGGGCAUCGGGCUCGGCGAUCCAGGCCAGCCGCGUGCCGGGCAGGGUGCGCAGGGUGCUGCGGUCACCCUACUGCCUCCUGUGUUGUGAUGAUACAGGCAGAGGAAGUCUUUCUUUCACCUCUGUCUCUGGAGUCCUGACAUCACCUUUGCUGACCUAUGCUUCAGCAUCCCCAGGGUAACAGGAUACAAUGAAAGAAGAGGAUACCAAGAGAGACGUUGGAAAACUGAGCCCUGAUGACCUUUGUCAGCACUUGAACCAAACAGUGCUUUCAGUAGAACAGCGUCUUCCUCUUUCGUGCCCAGGAUGAAGUCAAAGCCCCCCACAGGAGCCUGUAAUGCUUAUAAGUGAGUUUUGCCUGGAUGGAAGCAAGCCACCAGAGCUUAUUUCUCAGAGAAGUCCUAUGGUGGAGGUGGCUGCAUGCCAGGAAAUUCACACCCUGCUGAAGGACUCCUCCACCAGAGAAUGGCACUGCAAUCCUUCUGCCACCUCCUGCUCUUGUGCACGUGCCUUCUGUUAUGUAAACAGUCUCCCCCAGCACUUCUGACAUCUCUACUGUGCACGAAGCCAACAGGAGACUCUUACAAAGCUGGAUGUUGGUUAAGGUGCCGAGAGGGCAGCCCUGCCCCAGCCUCUCUGACCAGCCAAGCCUGGUGUGCCCGCACAGCAGCCCUGUGUCCUCUGUGCCCCCAUUCGUCAUCCACUGUGGUCACCGCCGCAUGCACGAUGGAGCUCAUGAGUUGUUCCUUCCUUCUUCCUGUUGAAGAGAGACCUGGCGUGUGGGGACCCUGCCUCCCUCUGCUGCUGGACUACAAGGAGGAAGGACCUCAUCUCCUGCCCAGGGCACUCACCAUGCCAUCGGAGCAGUUGG